CGGAUGGUGAGCUGAGGCCCCGCGG
rnacentral:piRNA from 1 species